rnacentral:rRNA from 1 species
AGAGUUUGAUUAUGGCUCAGGAUGAACGCUGGCGGCGUGCUUAACACAUGCAAGUCGAACGGGAAUUACUUUAUUGAAACUUCGGUCGAUUUAAUUUAAUUCUAGUGGCGGACGGGUGAGUAACGCGUGGGUAACCUGCCUUAUACAGGGGGAUAACAGUCAGAAAUGGCUGCUAAUACCGCAUAAGCGCACAGAGCUGCAUGGCUCGGUGUGAAAAACUCCGGUGGUAUAAGAUGGACCCGCGUUGGAUUAGCUAGUUGGCGGGGUAACGGCCCACCAAGCCUUCGAUGGAUAGGGGUUCUGAGAGGAAGGUCCCCCACAUUGGAACUGAGACACGGUCCAA